rnacentral:rRNA from 1 species
UACAGAGGGUGUGAGCGUUGUUCGGAAUUAUUGGGCGUAAAGCGCUUGUAGGCGGUCUGUCAAGUCGCGUGUGAAAUCCCUAGGCUUAACCUAGGAAGUGCGCGCGAAACUGGCGGACUUGAGUGCCGGAGAGGGUCGCGGAAUUCCCCAAGUAGAGGUGAAAUUCGUAGAUAUGGGGAGGAACACCGGUGGCGAAGGCGGCCACCUGGACGGUAACUGACGCUGAGACGCGAAAGCGUGGGGAGCAAACAGG